rnacentral:tRNA from 1 species
CUAGCUAAAGAGGAGUCACUCCCUCCUUAAUGA